UACCAGCACCCCGAGUGGUCGGGACGUUUAUUGGGCCUAAAGCAUCCGUAGCCGGUUCUACAAGUCUUCCGUUAAAUCCAACUGCUUAACAGGUGGGCUGCGGAAGAUACUAUAGAGCUAGGAGGCGGGAGAGGCAAGCGGUACUCGAUGGGUAGGGGUAAAAUCCGUUGAUCCAUUGAAGACCACCAGUGGCGAAGGCGGCUUGCCAGAACGCGCUCGUCGGUGAGGGAUGAAAGCUGGGGGAGCAAACCGG
rnacentral:rRNA from 1 species